rnacentral:rRNA from 1 species
UUCCAGACUCCUACGGGAGGCAGCAGUGGGGAAUAUUGCACAAUGGGGGAAACCCUGAUGCAGCGAUGCCGCGUGGAGGAAGAAGGUUUUCGGAUUGUAAACUCCUUUUAUCAGGGACGAUAAUGACGGUACCUGACUAAGAAGCCCCGGCUAACUACGUGCCAGCAGCCGCGGUAAUACGUAGGGGGCAAGCGUUAUCCGGAUUUAUUGGGUUUAAAGGGUGCGCAGGCGGCCUGUUAAGUCAGCGGUCAACGCCGGGGGCCCCCCCCCGCCCCGCCGUUGAAACUGGCAGUCUCGAGUUGGAGAGAAGUAUGCGGAAUGCGCGGUGUAGCGGUGAAAUGCAUAGAUAUCGCGCAGAACUCCGAUUGCGAAGGCAGCAUGCCGGCUCCACACUGACGCUGAGGCACGAAAGCGUGGGUAUCGAACAGGAUUAGAUACCCGUGUA